AACCUGCCCAUAAUCUCUUUAUUUUCAUUCUUCCCUACAUUUUAAGCAUACCUCAGAAACCGAGAACUCUGCGUACCUGUUGCUUGAUUGCAGGAACACAUCAGGUACCCAGUGUUGGUCUGAGCUGCAGAGAGUAAAAAGAGAGGGAAGAUGCAGACAACCGUCUGUAUCCCUAUUUGAGAAAACAGUUUGAAAUGUAAAGAAUAUUCUUCAUCAAGGAAGAGAAAGACUUAAAGAACAGAAGACUUUACGUGAAGCAAAGUAAGAAUUGGGACAUUGUGAAGCAUGUCCUGAUGUUGUUUCAGAAUUAAACUGUGAAGUGCUAUCGACCUAGACUUGUGGAGGGCACCACAGAAGCAUGUUGUGUAGUGUCUAUGGAGUAAGAUUCUUAUUCUACCUUGAAAGGAGAACCUUAAAUAUCAUGGAUUAAUGCCAGAUUGGUCAACGGAAGUUUUGGACCUUAGCUGCCAGAGAGCUGCGUGCAUGGUGUUACCAUCACAUCCACUGAAUGUGCUGGAGCUUUCCUGUCAAGGUUUUAAUUUCCUGCCAGUGAUUUUAUUUUUAAUUUUUUUGAGACAUUAGAAGGUCUUUAGCCAUGACUGUGUAUCAGCAGCUGAAAGAAUUUGUGAGGGUGAAUGUAACUAUUUGCUCCGAAAAAACCUACAUAGCUCUUUUCACUCCUUUUGACGAGUAUCCAUGAAUACAUUUAAGUUUUAAAGAGCCCCAGAGUAGUUCUUACUGCUGUAUUUGACCAACGCAUUGUCUGGACUGCUCUCCAUUUGUAAGUGAUGAGAGCUUUUCCAUGCAGGCAGCCCAACCACUGGAAGGUCAGCAGUCUGAUGCUGGCUUCAAAACCACGAGAUUGGCUGCUUUCUGCAUUGGGUAUCAAUGAGUCACAUUACCUUCUAGAAAACAAAACAAAAAAACAGCCGGACUAAUUUCAAAACCUGCCAUUGGAGAAAUAAUGUGUGAAGACCUUCUGACUGGAGAUGGAGGAAGGAAGGUACAUUUGCUCAGCAUGAGAUACUUUAGAUGUGCAUUCAUGAAGGGUGUAAACAGCCUCACCUGCGGUCUCAGCCUCCACAUAAGGCAGCUGAGCUUCCUUUGUAGGUAGCAAGGCCCCGCACCAGGCAACUGAGAACACCUGAAGUAAGAGAAUCCUUAUCAGCUGGCAAAGGGGGGCCUCUUCCAUCUCUGGAUCCUCUGGAUAUCUGGAGGCUUGCUUUCAUGGGAAGUGACUAAAAUUGGGUGAUGCUAAUUAUCCUUCAUGUGUAAAUUUUUAAACUAAUAAAUUGUUUCAAGUCUUCU
rnacentral:lncRNA from 7 species